rnacentral:rRNA from 1 species
UUAAGUCAGGCAACGAGCGAGACCCACGCCCACAGUUGCCAGCGUACUCUCCGGAGUGACGGGUACACUGUGGGGACCGCCGCUGCUAAAGCGGAGGAAGGAAUGGGCAACGGUAGGUCAGUAUGCCCCGAAUAUCCCGGGCUACACGCGGGCUACAAUGGUUGGUACAAUGGGUAUCUACCCCGAAAGGGGAUGGAAAUCUCCUAAAGCCAAUCUUAGUCCGGAUUGAGGGCUGCAACUCGCCCUCGUGAAGCUGGAAUCCGUAGUAAUCGUACAUCAACAGUGUGCGGUGAAUACGUCCCUGCUCCUUGCACA